CCAAAGCUCAAGAACCAAGUUUCAUGUGCUAAUAUCUCAAGAGCUUCAGAAAGUCUUAUGGCUGGUUGACAUGUGAGCUCACGGAUUGUGGCAGCAUACCCAGGGCCUGCCUGCAAGGGUCUGUACCAGAUAGUAAGCAGCAGAAGUGAGCAUCUCUAACCAGAAGCUAUCUCCAACUGAUAGCCAUUCACAAGUGAACAAUUACCUUUCUCCAAUGGCCUCGAUGCGUAUAUUGAGCCAUGCCCAGCAAUAAAUGGGCAACACCAGUUGAAUCAAUGGUAGAAGACUUUCCCUCUUGGAGUGUUUUGUUCUGCCAUUUUUUUGUCUUACUGGUCUCUUUUGCUUGUCUAUGGUUUCUGAUUUUGUGGACUUUAUGGAUUUUGUUUGCUGUUGUGUGUUUCUUAUAUUAUGUCUCUCUUAUAUUUUUUGUUUGNNNNNNNNNNNNNNNNNNNNNNNNGGAGAGAGAAAGGGUGGGGAGGAUCUGGGAGGAGUUGGGAAAGGGCAAAGAGUGAUCAGAAUGCAUUGUAUGAAGAAGACAUUUUCACAAUUAAAAAUAAUUUUUGGUAAAAUUUC
rnacentral:lncRNA from 1 species